AAACCGCCUAGAGGUAAACGGGUGGAUCCGCAAAGUCGGCCCGCGGAAUUCAGCUCGGAAGGUAGGCGCGUGCGGCCGGGUCGGAGAUCCUCAAAGACUCUCCCGUCGCUCGACGUCGAUCGGCCGUGUGCACUUUCCGCGGGCAGAGCGCCACGACCGGUUCUCGGGCGGUCAGAAGGCCGCGAGGAAGGUAGGUGGGCGCUUCGGCGCACACUGUUAUAGACUCGCGUGUCCCGAUCCGCUCGGGGACCGAGGAGCCGCCGCCGGCGUAGGCCGCCUCGCCCUCCUGGGAUGUUCGACUGGCAGAGACUGGGCAACCGUGUCUGCCGACUGCUUCCUCGGACGGAUGGGGUGGGCCCGCCGGCACAGGGUCGGUGGCGAAUCGGUCGGCCCUCCACCCGACCCGUCUUGAA
rnacentral:rRNA from 1 species